rnacentral:rRNA from 1 species
AGUAACGGCGAGUGAAGCGGCAAUAGCUCAAAUUUGAAAUCUGGCCUCUCGGGGUCCGAGUUGUAAUUUGUAGAGGAUGUUUUGGGUACCGCCCCGGUCUAAAUUUCUUGGAACAGAAUGUCAAAGAGGGUGAGAAUCCCGUCUUGGACCGGCGGUAGGGCCUGUGUAAAACUCCUUCGACGAGUCGAGUUGUUUGGGA